rnacentral:rRNA from 1 species
CAGCCGCCGCGGUAAUACGUAGGGGGCUAGCGUUGUUCGGAAUUACUGGGCGUAAAGCGCACGUAGGCGGCUUGGUAAGUUAGAGGUGAAAGCCCGGAGCUCAACUCCGGAAUUGCCUUUAAGACUGCCGAGCUAGUAGGUGAGAGAGGUAAGUGGAAUUCCGAGUGUAGAGGUGAAAUUCGUAGAUAUUCGGAAGAACACCAGUGGCGAAGGCGGCUUACUGGCUCAUUCUAGACGCUGAGGCACGAAAGCGUGGGGAGCAAACAGGAUUAGAUACCCGUGUAGUCCCUGUCUCUUAUAC